rnacentral:rRNA from 1 species
ACGUACACUCCUACGGGAGGCAGCAGUGGGGAAUAUUGGACAAUGGGCGCAAGCCUGAUCCAGCCAUGCCGCGUGAGUGAUGAAGGCCCUAGGGUUGUAAAGCUCUUUCACCGGUGAAGAUAAUGACGGUAACCGGAGAAGAAGCCCCGGCUAACUUCGUGCCAGCAGCCGCGGUAAUACGAAGGGGGCUAGCGUUGUUCGGAUUUACUGGGCGUAAAGCGCACGUAGGCGGACUAUUAAGUCAGGGGUGAAAUCCCGGGGCUCAACCCCGGAACUGCCUUUGAUACUGGUAGUCUUGAGUUCGAGAGAGGUGAGUGGAAUUCCGAGUGUAGAGGUGAAAUUCGUAGAUAUUCGGAGGAACACCAGUGGCGAAGGCGGCUCACUGGCUCGAUACUGACGCUGAGGUGCGAAAGCGUGGGGAGCAAACAGGAUUAGAAACCCUUGUAGUCC